rnacentral:rRNA from 1 species
UUUUAUGAGAGUUUGAUCCUGGCUCAGGACGAACGCUGGCGGCGUGCCUAAUACAUGCAAGUCGAACGCUUCUUUUUCCACCGGAGCUUGCUCCACCGGAAAAAGAAGAGUGGCGAACGGGUGAGUAACACGUGGGUAACCUGCCCAUCAGAAGGGGAUAACACUUGGAAACAGGUGCUAAUACCGUAUAACAAUCAAAACCGCAUGGUUUUGAUUUGAAAGGCGCUUUCGGGUGUCGCUGAUGGAUGGACCCGCGGUGCAUUAGCUAGUUGGUGAGGUAACGGCUCACCAAGGCCACGAUGCAUAGCCGACCUGAGAGGGUGAUCGGCCACAUUGGGACUGAGACACGGCCCAAACUCCUACGGGAGGCAGCAGUAGGGAAUCUUCGGCAAUGGACGAAAGUCUGACCGAGCAACGCCGCGUGAGUGAAGAAGGUUUUCGGAUCGUAAAACUCUGUUGUUAGAGAAGAACAAGGAUGAGAGUAACUGUUCAUCCCUUGACGGUAUCUAACCAGAAAGCCACGGCUAACUACGUGCCAGCAGCCGCGGUAAUACGUAGGUGGCAAGCGUUGUCCGGAUUUAUUGGGCGUAAAGCGAGCGCAGGCGGUUUCUUAAGUCUGAUGUGAAAGCCCCCGGCUCAACCGGGGAGGGUCAUUGGAAACUGGGAGACUUGAGUGCAGAAGAGGAGAGUGGAAUUCCAUGUGUAGCGGUGAAAUGCGUAGAUAUAUGGAGGAACACCAGUGGCGAAGGCGGCUCUCUGGUCUGUAACUGACGCUGAGGCUCGAAAGCGUGGGGAGCAAACAGGAUUAGAUACCCUGGUAGUCCACGCCGUAAACGAUGAGUGCUAAGUGUUGGAGGGUUUCCGCCCUUCAGUGCUGCAGCUAACGCAUUAAGCACUCCGCCUGGGGAGUACGACCGCAAGGUUGAAACUCAAAGGAAUUGACGGGGGCCCGCACAAGCGGUGGAGCAUGUGGUUUAAUUCGAAGC